GGAAUAUUGGACAAUGGGCGAAAGCCUGAUCCAGCCAUGCCGCGUGUGUGAAGAAGGUCUUCGGAUUGUAAAGCACUUUAAGUUGGGAGGAAGGGCAGUAAGCGAAUACCUUGCUGUUUUGACGUUACCGACAGAAUAAGCACCGGCUAACUCUGUGCCAGCAGCCGCGGUAAUACAGAGGGUGCAAGCGUUAAUCGGAAUUACUGGGCGUAAAGCGCGCGUAGGUGGUUUGUUAAGUUGGAUGUGAAAGCCCCGGGCUCAACCUGGGAACUGCAUCCAAAACUGGCAAGCUAGAGUACAGUAGAGGGUGGUGGAAUUUCCUGUGUAGCGGUGAAAUGCGUAGAUAUAGGAAGGAACACCAGUGGCGAAGGCGACCACCUGGACUGAUACUGACACUGAGGUGCGAAAGCGUGGGGAGCAAACAGGAUUAGAUACCCUAG
rnacentral:rRNA from 1 species